GAUGAACGCUGGCGGCGUGCCUAAUACAUGCAAGUCGAGCGAACAGACGAGGAGCUUGCUCCUCUGACGUUAGCGGCGGACGGGUGAGUAACACGUGGAUAACCUACCUCUAUGACUGGGAUCACUUCGGGAAACCGUAGCUAAUACCGGAUACUAUCUUGAACCGCAUUGUUCAAUAGUGAAAGACGGUUUUGCUGUCACUUAUAGAUGGAUCCGCGCCGCAUUAGCUAGUUGGUAAGGUAACGGCUUACCAAGGCAACGAUGCGUAGCCGACCUGAGAGGGUGAUCGGCCACACUGGAACUGAGACACGGUCCAGACUCCUACGGGAGGCAGCAGUAGGGAAUCUUCCGCAAUGGGCGAAAGCCUGACGGAGCAACGCCGCGGGAGUGAUGAAGGUCUUCGGAUCGUAAAACUCUGUUAUUAGGGAAGAACAAAUGUGUAAGUAACUAUGCACGUCUUGACGGUACCGAAUCAGAAAGCCACGGCUAACUACGUG
rnacentral:rRNA from 1 species